AUCUUGUUAAACACCACAAUAACCACCGUUUAUGCAGUCACCUACCCGCAGUGAUUUGCCCUUACAUGGCCUAACAGCGAUGAAAGGAGCACAGAAAGUGGAGGGGAGAUAUGCCUCUGAAAGGCAGUCACUAUAUCCACAGUUUCAUGCUGAGGAAGCUCUAAAAGUGAUGGCACGGAAACCUGUCAUAGCCAUUGCUUCUACGUAACUGUUGUUGUGAAGAAGCUCAGACAGCAUGAUGAACGUCAGCCCACCAAAGAAAUCUUCUGCUGUUCAUUGCUGCUUCAGAUUGUCAGCCCUGAAGGACUGCUAACACUGUCUACCCUCUGGAUUUGUAAGGAGUAAUUAGCAUUGAUAAAUAUUCAUCGCAGAUGUGAAAUGAUUUGUUUCAUAAUCUUCUUUGAGCUGUUUGAUUUUCUUUGAUUAAAUGGUUAGCUUGAGUGAUCGUUUUCAGCAGAAUUUGAGCAGCUAGGUGAAGAAAUCCCCAAGAAGCAGCUCUCUUUCCCUCCUCCUUCUCUCCACGCCAUGAAAACUUCACCCUUUAUUUCCAGGCAAACCUCCAUGCAGGUUUGAGCUGUUCUCUUAGAUAUACAGCCAGGCGCGGUAAAGAAUAAUAACAUGUCAAAGACGCUCACACCACCACAGACCACAGAAAAUGGAACACGCCUCAGGGUGGAUAAACGCUUCAAGAUUUCUCGUACUUCUCUUGAAUUUAAUAAGUGCCCCAAACCCCCUGCCUACUGCUCAGG
ensembl:lncRNA